GCGUAAGCGCACGCAGGCGGUCUGUCAAGUCGGAUGUGAAAUCCCCGGGCUCAACCUGGGAACUGCAUUCGAAACUGGCAGGCUAGAGUCUUGUAGAGGGGGGUAGAAUUCCAGGUGUAGCGGUGAAAUGCGUAGAGAUCUGGAGGAAUACCGGUGGCGAAGGCGGCCCCCUGGACAAAGACUGACGCUCAGGUGCGAAAGCGUGGGGAGCAAACAGGAUUAGAUACCCUGGUAGUCCACGCCGUAAACGAUGUCGACUUGGAGGUUGUGCCCUUGAGGCGUGGCUUCCGGAGCUAACGCGUUAAGUCGACCGCCUGGGGAGUACGGCCGCAAGGUUAAAACUCAAAUGAAUUGACGGGGGCCCGCACAAGCGGUGGAGCAUGUGGUUUAAUUCGAUGCAACGCGAAGAACCUUACCUACUCUUGACAUCCAGAGAACUUUCCAGAGAUGGAUUGGUGCCUUCGGGAACUCUGAGACAGGUGCUGCAUGGCUGUCGUCAGCUCGUGUUGUGAAAUGUUGGGUUAAGUCCCGCAACGAGCGCAACCCUUAUCCUUUGUUGC
rnacentral:rRNA from 1 species